AUUGACAUUUUUAUUGUUACUGAUGAAUUAGUUUUAUUGUUACUGAUGAAUUUUACGUGGAAAGGGGGAAAAGAAGCCAGAGGUUAGGUUUUGGAAAAAAACAUAGCAGUGUCUCUUCUAAUUAGGAAGGAGAGAAAUAGGUGAGAAUGGGCAUGAAUGCAUGUGGAUGUAUAAUAGACUAUAAAUCAAAAUCCCCACCCCACAAUACCUAAUUGUGUAGAACAAGAAAUCAAUAUGCAUUAGGAUUCCAAAGAACCUAGAAAUACCUAUUUUAAAGUUGCAUUAAGAUGGUACCCACCUGAAAUUCCAUCCAUAUUCAAACAAAAUUAUUUAUUUAAAGAAAAUCCACUGUGUUGUUUGCAUUUCCAAGACAUGACAAAGGAUUUUUUUUUUAAUAUUCUGUAUGGAAUACCAUUAACAUUGAAAGUUGCGCCCAAAGAACCUAGUGCAAGAUUAAAACUGCUUUCAAGUCUUGUGAUUUACACUAAGAAUUAAUCAAAUAUUGCUCAGUAUGUUGGUAUG
rnacentral:lncRNA from 1 species